AAAAGCCCUUCAAAUGCGUGACCUGCGGAAAGGGGUUUUGUCAGGCCCGAACCUUAGCUGUUCAUAAACAGACGCACGAGGUUUCGUAAUGGUUGUGCACGUGAAAAAAUAAAGGGUGUGAAAUCCAUUGGGAAGGUCCAAUGUCAUGUGAUCAGAUAUCCCUCCGCGCGGGAAGAUUCGGACUGUUUUUUUUUUGGUGCACGAUGGUUGUCUAUAAAGUAUUUCCCCGGAAGUUGAGGAUUCUGUUCCUGUCUGUGAACGCUUUUCCGUUGAGCCGACAGAUUAACAGUGCUGCUAAAAAGUUUUAAUUUGUUUUUACAUCAAAUUGUUGUUAAUGUUGAUGUCUUUGUUAUCUUAUUUACUCUUGUUUUUGAGCAUUGUUGUGUAUGUGUUGUGUCCCCAAAUACCGCAUGUGGUUGCAUGCAUAUUACAUACAAAACAUUCCAAGAAAGAGAGGAAAGAAAGAGAAUGAGUGAGUGAAAAAGUGAACAAGAGAUAUUGUAUAUAUAUGAAUGUUCGAUAUGCAAAUAAAUUAUAACCUAUAAUGAC
rnacentral:misc_RNA from 1 species